rnacentral:lncRNA from 1 species
UCCAUCCGACUUAAUGGGCCCUAAACCCAUGAUCCGUCGUCACUUUUACGUAUGCGCGAGGUGCAGAGAAACCAUCACGCGAGCUCGUUCCUAGCGGCUACGUGCAUGUAUAGGGUGCCCAGGUAAUCGUCGCCGACGCGUGCAUCCCUAGCAGGUGACCACCGCCGACGCGUGCAUCCCUAGCAGGUGAUCCUCAAGCAUCCUCACGUGCGUCCCCAGGUGAUCGUCAUGUGCGUCCCAGCUGAUCGUCGUCGUGUGUCCCCAGGUGAUCGACAUCGUGCGGCCCAGCUUUGAAUCCUCACCGUGCGCCCUCAGGUAUUCUUCUUGUGUGUGUGUGUCUAUAUAUAUGCAUGUGUAUGUGUGAUUUGUUUUGAAUUUUUUUUUGCAUACAUACAUAUAUGCACACUACACCACAACACUUUUUUAGCGUCAGAUAA